GCCACCGCCGUGCGGUUCCGCCCCCUCGCCGCCGCCACCGCCACCGCCGCCGCCGCCGCCGCCGCCGCCGACGCGAGGUCCCUCGAGAUUGAUCGGAGGAGGUGGUUGCGAUGGCCCGCGUGUACGUCGGCAACCUGGAUCCCCGCGUGACGGCUCGGGAGCUCGAGGACGAGUUCCGCGUGUUUGGAGUUCUUCGGAGUGUAUGGGUUGCAAGAAAGCCACCAGGUUUUGCAUUCAUUGAUUUUGAUGACAGGAGGGAUGCUCAGGAUUCAAUUCGUGAUCUAGAUGGCAAGAAUGGAUGGAGAGUUGAGCUGUCUCGUAAUGCAAGCAGUGGUCGUGGUGGCCGUGAUCGAUACGGUGGGUCUGAGAGUAAGUGUUACGAAUGUGGUGAGACUGGGCAUUUUGCUCGUGAAUGCCGUUUGAGGAUUGGUUCAGGGGGCCUAGGAAGUGGAAGACGUCGCAGCAGGAGCCGCAGCCGCAGCCGUAGUCGAAGUCCCAGAUACCGCAGGAGUCCAAGCUAUGGUAGAAGAAGUUACAGCCCUGCAGGGCGCUCUCCAAGGCGUCGUAGUGCGUCACCAGCUCGUGCACGCAGCUAUAGCAGGUCACCACAAUACAACCGUGGCCGUGAUGAAUCUCCAGCCUAUGAUAACGGAUAUCGCCGCAGCAGAAGUUAGAGCUGAACCUGAUGUCUAAAGAUUGCUGAUACAAAUCUCUGUGGGUUAUCAGCCAUGAACAGUGUCCUAUUCCAAAGAUCAUCUCAACGCUUGACUUUGAUUAAGGCAUCGUCCUGCACUGCUUAAACGACUCGGCCGACUACGGCUAUCAGUUAUGUCUUCAUGGUUGUGUUCGCUCUUCAUUCUACGCACGCCCUCGUCUGCUUCAUGCAAACACAUGAGAAUACAGCCCCAUUAGUUGCUGCCUACAACGCCUCUUCACGAUCCAUAUACUUCGUUGAGGAUGCUGCUCAUCAGUAAACAGUAAUGACCUUUUCUUGUCAUAACAAUUUGGUAAUAUUGUCUUCAUAAAAACAGUAAAUGCAGCAUCUGGAAGUACUGGCAGAACAAAGUUCUUCAUAGGCCUAGACUCCGGAAACUGAAUUUGCUUCCCCGGGGCCGCACUGCAUAUUCAGUUGGAUGAUUCUUACUCCUGCCCCGUCUACCAUGCCUUGUGCCAGUGAAGUGAGGGCACUAGAGAAGUGCAUUUAACCAGGCCGACUUCAGUAAGCGGUUUAACUGUGCAAGGUGUAAGCCUGCUUAGACUUCUAUUUUUUUAAGCAAAAGCCUGCUUAGACUUCGGAUGCUGGCAGUGAUCUUGCUCUCCUACAUGAUCUUUGUUCUGCGCUAUCUCAGCCUGCCAGCUGCCACAGCGUGGUGCGCUUCCUCAGCCUGCUUCAGCGUGCUGCCGUCUAGCAAAGAGCCUUCGCUACCUCUGCUUACCCGACAUCUGAUUGCAAUUACUUGGCAUUUGGCAUUCGUUCAUCAGAUUAAUGUGUUAAAUGGUUAAUUCUUGGGGUAUCUGAUAGUUACUACGGGUGACAAUGUCAGAUGUUAUUCUAUUUGCGCCAACGGAAUGUCAAUAUCGGAUCAUUUUCUUUUUUUUUUCAGACCUGU